ensembl:snoRNA small nucleolar RNA SNORA38
CCCUCCUACAAAGGCAUGUCUGUGGUUCCCUGUCUUUGGACACUAAGAAUUGGAGGCAAAGAAAGAAAUGUAGACUUGGAGAAAUCUAGAGCCAGCUUGCUCCCUGCAGGUUCAAGAUCAACCAUCCCAAAUAG